AAAGACUCAAUUCCUGGGUUUCCGUGUCCAACGUUUGACCGUCCGUCCUAUUUAAAAAAAAUAUGAAAAAAAUUAAAAAGAUAAGUCACACAUAAAGUAUUAUUUAUGUUUUAUCAUCUAACAAUAAUGAAAAUAUUAAUUAUAAAGAAAAUUCAUAUAAGACGGAUAGUCAAACGUUGGACACGGAAACCCAUGAAUUGAGUCUUU
rfam:Oryza sativa Japonica Group DNA, chromosome 1, cultivar: Nipponbare, complete sequence.